AUAUCAUUUUGGGGGAAAUUUCUAAGUAAUCCCUUGUAACACUCCCAUGCUUCAUAAAGUGAUUCUUUUGGUUGUUUCUCAAAUGCAGCUAUUGCCUUCUUGAGUUU